rnacentral:rRNA from 1 species
GACGAACGCUGGCGGCGUGCUUAACACAUGCAAGUCGAACGGUAAGGCCCUUCGGGGUACACGAGAGGCGAACGGGUGAGUAACACGUGGGUGAUCUGCCCUGCACUUCGGGAUAAGCCUGGGAAACUGGGUCUAAUACCGGAUAGGACCACUGCCUGCAUGGGUGGUGGUGGAAAGCUUUUGCGGUGUGGGAUGGGCCCGCGGCCCAUCAGCUUGUUGGUGGGGUGAUGGCCUACCAAGGCGACGACGGGUAGCCGGCCUGGGAGGGUGACCGGCCACACUGGGACUGAGAUACGGCCCAGACUCCUACGGGAGGCAGCAGUGGGGAAUAUUGCACAAUGGGCGCAAGCCUGAUGCAGCGACGCCGCGUGAGGGAUGACGGCCUUCGGGUUGUAAACCUCUUUCAGCACCGACGAAGCGCAAGUGACGGUAGGUGCAGAAGAAGGACCGGCCAACUACGUGCCAGCCGCCGCCGUAA